UGGGGAAUAUUGCACAAUGGGGGAAACCCUGAUGCAGCAACGCCGCGUGAAGGAAGAAGGUUCUCGGAUCGUAAACUUCUAUCGAUAGGGAAGAAAGAAAUGACGGUACCUAAAUAAGAAGCCCCGGCUAACUACGUGCCAGCAGCCGCGGUAAUACGUAGGGGGCAAGCGUUAUCCGGAAUUACUGGGUGUAAAGGGUGAGUAGGCGGCACUGCAAGUCAUAUGUGAAAACUUUUGGCUCAACCAAAAGAUUGCAUAAGAAACUGUGGGGCUAGAGUGCAGGAGAGGUAAGCGGAAUUCCUAGUGUAGCGGUGAAAUGCGUAGAUAUUAGGAAGAACACCAGUGGCGAAGGCGGCUUACUGGACUGUAACUGACGCUGAGUCACGAAAGCGUGGGGAGC
rnacentral:rRNA from 1 species